UACGAAGGGGGCGAGCGUUGUUCGGAAUUACUGGGCGUAAAGGGCGCGCAGGCGGCCCUUGAAGUCAGGCGUGAAAGCCCCCGGGCUCAACCUGGGAGGUGCGCUUGAUACUCGAGGGCUUGAGUGCGGGAGAGGAGAGUGGAAUUCCCAGUGUAGAGGUGAAAUUCGUAGAUAUUGGGAAGAACACCGGUGGCGAAGGCGGCUCUCUGGACCGUAACUGACGCUGAUGCACGAAAGCUAGGGGAGCAAACAGG
rnacentral:rRNA from 1 species